UGGACGAGGCUACGGCCAUCAACAACAGCGUCGACCAGGGUCUCUCGUCCAGCAUAUUCACCAAGAACCUCAACCACAUCUUCAAGACACAGUGGCUGGGACCGAAAGGAUCGGACUGAGGGAUCGUCAACGUCGACAUCGGGACGAGCGGAGUUGAGAUCGGUGAGAUGAACACACAGCAGGCGGCCAUGAAUCGGGAUCAGAUUCAUAGUAUUACUAAACUCUAUUGUCACAUUUGUUGGCGUCUGUCUCGAUGAUAGACCUUCCUCCCCCCCAACGGACCCGACUCUCUUGAUCUGUUCGCUCGGAUCGAGUUUCAUUAAUGUUGGACUAAGCAGUUGCGUCGUCACUGAGAGCAACGCCGACCCGACAAUCUUCCCGCCUUUGUUUCCUGAAUAUCAUCCGCCGAUAACAGCAGCUCAGUUGUUUUAUUCCCGAGCUAUUUAUUACUGCCCUUUUUGGACCCUCGCCAUCAACUGUGAAACUGAUGUAUAGAUUAGGAAUAUUCCAAAAUAAAAAUAAUUUCAUUCUUAUCAUGUGUUUCAAGUAAUUAAACUAUUAUGUUCCAGUUACUAGGCCUAUUUCACAUGUGAUACACCACCAUCGCAUCCUAAAAUCUCCUUGUUCGCAGCUGAAUUUCUGUUCGUCUCCACGAUUCCUUUCUGUCGUCUGCACCCCCACCGUUGCCAGAUUUUUUACCUUUGGCGCCGGUGCGCCACAUCACAAAUCUUCUUCACAUUUUCAGGCGUUUGACUUUAAUGACGAUGAAAGCGAUGUGAUAAUACGGGCAAACAUUUAUUAGGUCAACUGAAAACACAGUGUGAAAAAUCAUCUACGUACGUUUUGCGUUUGAGUUUUCAGCUGUGUUCUUGGCGGAUUUUUAAUUUUUUAAUUUUCUCGAGUUACGUCUACUCAAAGCUCCGGCUAAUAAACUUGUUGUAAGAAUCGGUAAGAAUACUUCAGUCGAGUUGUCUCACACAGGUGACGAUACGGCGACGGUAUGGACGGAAAAGGCUUCGACAAUAUCUGCCCAGCACACCAGAAUCCUGAUACCAAAAAAUCCCGCUAUGAUAUCACAAAUAAUUUACAAAUAUAUCUAGAUCUUGGGACACUGUGUAUUUCAUAUAAAUUUGUCAGAAGAUUUCUAACUGCAAUAACUGCUGCGCUGCGGAAAAUGAAUGAACUUAAUAAUGAUGAGCCGGAAACGAUCGAAACUUAAAUCACUUAAAUCAUUUCAAAUUAUCACAAAAAGAACCAC